rnacentral:rRNA from 1 species
AUGAGUAUCAUGUGUUGGAAUUGUCGUGGGGCGGGCAAUCCUGCGACAAUUCGAGAGCUUCGUCUACUGACGAAGCGUUUUGCCCCCACCAUCCUUUGUAUCCUCGAGACACAGAUUGAGGGAACGAGGGUGGAGAAUUUUUCAGCUUCUUUAGGUUACAAUAAAAGUUUUGUUGUUAGUAGUUCUGGUAGAAGUGGUGUCUUAGGAAUUUUCUGA